rnacentral:rRNA from 1 species
GACGAACGCUGGCGGCGUGCCUAAUACAUGCAAGUAGAACGCUGAAGCGAGGAGCUUGCUCUUCUUGGAUGAGUUGCGAACGGGUGAGUAACGCGUAGGUAACCUGCCUUGUAGCGGGGGAUAACUAUUGGAAACGAUAGCUAAUACCGCAUAACAAUAGGUGACACAUGUCAUUUAUUUGAUAUGGGCAAUUGCUCCACUACAAGAUGGAUCUGCGUUGUAUUAGCUAGUAGGUGAGGUAACGGCUCACCUAGGCGACGAUACAUAGCCGACCUGAGAGGGUGAUCGGCCACACUGGGACUGAGACACGGCCCAGACUCCUACGGGAGGCAGCAGUAGGGAAUCUUCGGCAAUGGGGGCAAACCUGACCGAGCAACGCCGCGUGAGUGAAGAAGGUUUUCGGAUCGUAAAGCUCUGUUGUAAGUCAAGAACGAGUGUGAGAGUGGAAAGUUCACACUGUGACGGUAGCUUACCAGAAAGGGACGGCUAACUACGUG